rnacentral:rRNA from 1 species
ACGUAAGGAGCGAGCGUUGUUCGGAAUUAUUGGGCGUAAAGGGCGUGUAGGCGGUUUUGUAAGCCUGGUGUAAAAGGCGUACGCUUAACGUACGUAGGUCGCUGGGGACUGCGAGACUAGAGUGUAGGAAGGGGAGCUGGAAUUCCAGGUGGGGGGGUUACAUCUCUAGAUCUGUGGAAGAGCGCCGAUGGCGGAGGCAAGCUUCUAGCCAGACACUGACGCUGAGGCGCGAAAGCGUGGAGAGGGAGCAG